rnacentral:rRNA from 1 species
GAUGAACGCUGGCGGCGUGCCUAAUACAUGCAAGUCGAGCGAACAGACGAGGAGCUUGCUCCUCUGACGUUAGCGGCGGACGGGUGAGUAACACGUGGAUAACCUACCUAUAGGACUGGGAUAACUUCGGGAAACCGGAGCUAAUACCGGAUAAUAUAUUGAACCGCAUGGUUCAAUAGUGAAAGACGGUUUUGCUGUCACUUAUAGAUGGAUCCGCGCCGCAUUAGCUAGUUGGUAAGGUAACGGCUUACCAAGGCAAUGAUGCGUAGCCGACCUGAGAGGGUGAUCGGCCACACUGGAACUGAGACACGGUCCAGACUCCUACGGGAGGCAGCAGUAGGGAAUCUUCCGCAAUGGGCGAAAGCCUGACGGAGCAACGCCGCGUGAGUGAUGAAGGUCUUCGGAUCGUAAAACUCUGUUAUUAGGGAAGAACAAAUGUGUAAGUAACUAUGCACGUCUUGACGGUACCUAAUCAGAAAGCCACGGCUAACUACGUG